rnacentral:rRNA from 1 species
UACGUAGGGGGCUAGCGUUGUCCGGAAUCAUUGGGCGUAAAGGGCUCGUAGGUGGCCAACUAAGUCAGACGUGAAAUCCCUCGGCUUAACCGGGGAACUGCGUCUGAUACUGGAUGGCUUGAGGUUGGGAGAGGGAUGCGGAAUUCCAGGUGUAGCGGUGAAAUGCGUAGAUAUCGGAGGAACACCAAUGGCGAAGGCAGCUCGCUGGAACGGAACUGACGCUGAGGCGCGACAGCGUGGGGAGCAAACGA